rnacentral:tRNA from 1 species
ACUGCGGUAGUCUAAUAGAUAUUUGAUUUCGACUCAAAAGAACUUACUCACCAUAAGCCAUAGUA